rnacentral:rRNA from 1 species
CAGCCGCGCGGGAAUACGUAGGGUGCAAGCGUUAAUCGGAAUUACUGGGCGUAAAGCGUGCGCAGGCGGUUAUAUAAGACAGAUGUGAAAUCCCCGGGCUCAACCUGGGAAUUGCAUUUGUGACUGUAUAGCUAGAGUACGGCAGAGGGGGAUGGAAUUCCGCGUGUAGCAGUGAAAUGCGUAGAUAUGCGGAGGAACACCGAUGGCGAAGGCAAUCCCCUGGGCCUGUACUGACGCUCAUGCACGAAAGCGUGGGGAGCAAACAGGAUUAGAUACCCCGGUAGUCCCUGUCUCUUAUACA